rnacentral:rRNA from 1 species
UACGAAGGGGGCUAGCGUUGCUCGGAAUGACUGGGCGUAAAGGGCGCGUAGGCGGUUCGUACAGUCAGGUGUGAAAUUCCCGGGCUUAACCUGGGGGCUGCGUUUGAUACGUGCGGGCUUGAGUUCGGAAGAGGGUCGUGGAAUUCCCAGUGUAGAGGUGAAAUUCGUAGAUAUUGGGAAGAACACCGGUGGCGAAGGCGGCGACCUGGUCCGAUACUGACGCUGAGGCGCGAAAGCGUGGGGAGCAAACAGG